rnacentral:misc_RNA from 1 species
GAUGAAGAACGUAGCGAAAUGCGAUAAGCAAUGCGAAUUGCAGAAUUUCCGUGAGUCAUCGAAUCUUUGAACGCACAUUGCGCCCACUGGUAUUCCGGUGGGCAUGCCUGUUCGAGCGUCAUUAUCCUCCCUCAAACCCCGGGUUUGGUGUUGGACCCAAGUUGUGUGAACAACUGGUCUCAAAGACAAUGACGGCGUCCGUGGGACCCUCGGUGCAACGAGCUUUUAGGAGCACGCGCCGAGUUGCAAGGACCUUCCGGGCCGGUCUCCUUUACUAUUUUACAAGGUUGACCUCGGAUCAGGUAGGAAUACCCGCUGAACUUAAGCAUAUCAAUAAGCGGAGGA